CCCCUCUCAGAGUUGCACCUGGAGAGUUUCCAGGACUCUAUUAGUCACGACUACAGGAGGCAGAGUCAUGCAGAGGCAUACCCAUUCCAUUUCUAGCUUGGGCAGUGGCUGGUGAGUGGAAGGCAAUCUGCUACAAGU